AAUGCCUAGGAAUCUGCCUGGUAGUGGGGGAUAACGUUCGGAAACGGACGCUAAUACCGCAUACGUCUUACGGGAGAAAGCAGGGGACCCUCGGGCCUUGCGCUAUCAGAUGAGCCUAGGUCGGAUUAGCUAGUUGGUGAGGUAAUGGCUCACCAAGGCGACGAUCCGUAACUGGUCUGAGAGGAUGAUCAGUCACACUGGAACUGAGACACGGUCCAGACUCCUACGGGAGGCAGCAGUGGGGAAUAUUGGACAAUGGGCGAAAGCCUGAUCCAGCCAUGCCGCGUGUGUGAAGAAGGUCUUCGGAUUGUAAAGCACUUUAAGUUGGGAGGAAGGGUUGUAGAUUAAUACUCUGCAAUUUUGACGUUACCGACAGAAUAAGCACCGGCUAACUCUGUGCCAGCAGCCGCGGUAAUACAGAGGGUGCAAGCGUUAAUCGGAAUUACUGGGCGUAAAGCGCGCGUAGGUGGUUUGUUAAGUUGGAUGUGAAAUCCCCGGGCUCAACCUGGGAACUGCAUUCAAAACUGACUGACUAGAGUAUGGUAGAGGGUGGUGGAAUUUCCUGUGUAGCGGUGAAAUGCGUAGAUAUAGGAAGG
rnacentral:rRNA from 1 species